UACGGAGGGUGCGAGCGUUAAUCGGAUUCAUUGGGCGUAAAGGGUGCGUAGGUGGCGCCGUAAGUCAGGUGUGAAAUCUCGGGGCUCAACCCCGAAACUGCACUUGAUACUGCGGUGCUCGAGUACUGGAGAGGAGAUUGGAAUUUACGGUGUAGCAGUGAAAUGCGUAGAUAUCGUAAGGAAGACCAGUGGCGAAGGCGAAUCUCUGGACAGUUACUGACACUGAGGCACGAAGGCCAGGGGAGCAAACGGG
rnacentral:rRNA from 1 species